UUUUACUAUUUAAAUACGCUUUCCUUUCUUGUAAUUCCUUGGCUCGUAGACUCUGCACUGACCAACAAAGAAAAUGCAUUUUCACAUUACCUUGUCCAAAUUUAACAUACUCGUCAUUUAAUUGAUCAUAGAAAACAUUUUGCGGUACGCACAAAUGCCUAAAUCUUGAUGGGAACUGUUUGCAUGCAAUGUUGAAAUGCGUUUUCUUUUGGCGUAAAGUUUUUUUACUAGUAUGGUAAACAUCCAAUCCAUUCCUGCUUACUGAAGACUUUUUGUCAAAAUUUUGAAUCUCGGAAUUUUGAUAUUGUAUCUCAUACAAACAUUCUUGCCUAUGUCAGGAAAUAGGGUACAGUAAUUGCAUGACACAUUUUGAGUCUGCCGUCUGACUUGUACACAUGUAUUGGAACAACUAAUUACAUGGAGGUUUUGCAUCAAUUUGGGACUUGAGUUGCCGGUAGUUGGUUGAAAAGAGCAUCAAUGGAAUCCUGGAUUGCUCACUGGUUAUGGAACAUUCUCGUCUGUUCAGGCCAAAAGUAUGACAAAUCUAUCCACAUCAAACAUGGAACCGAUUACCGUAUUGUACACAGAAAUGUUUGAAGAUGAAAUGGGUUCGAUGCAUGUUGAAGUAAUGUUCCAGAAAGCAGCAUUCCAGGGGCAAGAAUCUAAGUUGUAAGGCUGAUCAACACAUUAUAUAUUGUUCAACUUACUUUCUUUGCUCCUUGGUGAAUUUGAAUUAAAUUGGAAAUUGAAAGUUAUUGAACUAAUUUUCCAAUCAGUUAGAUGGAAUUUGUGGAAGUUACCGAAAUGUCAGGACGGAGUAAUACGCAAAAUUUGGAUUCGAUAAAAGUGUUGUUAUGUGGUGAAUACUUAGAACGUCUGUUUGCACUUCCAGAAGUUUUAAGGCUUGGGACAUGAUAAAGGCUGUAGAUGGUGGAAUUUGGAUUGCAAGUCAAAAUCGUGUUGU